AUAGCGUAUAUUUAAGUUGUUGCAGUUAAAAAGCUCGUAGUUGGAUUUCGGGUGGGUUGCAGCGGUCCGGUUCGCUGUGUACUGCUGCGGCCUAUCUUUCUGCCGGAAACGGACUCUUGGGCUUAACUGUCUGGGAUCCGGAGUCGGCGAGGUUACUUUGAGUAAAUUAGAGUGUUCAAAGCAAGCUUACGCUCUGAAUACAUUAGCAUGGAAUAACACGAUAGGACUCUGGCUUAUCUUGUUGGUCUGUAAGACCGGAGUAAUGAUUAAUAGGGAUAGUUGGGGGCAUUAAUAUUUAAUUGUCAGAGGUGAAAUUCUUGGAUUUAUGAAAGAUUAACUUCUG
rnacentral:rRNA from 1 species